UCAUCAGCUUUAAUCAUGCAGAGCUGAAGAGCGGGCCUGCAAAGGGUCACCCGCUAGUCCCGAGCCCGACUCGGGGCGACACCCUCAAAUUGCCUGGAACUCCCGCCAAGCCCCUGGUACCGUUGUCAAUGGGAAACUGUUGAUUACACUUCGAUGAAAGUCGAAGGCAUGGUAAAAAUCCAGUGGGAUAGGGAUGAUGGGCAGCCAAGCCCUAAGGGGGCCUACUACGGUAGGUCUCUAUGGGUGCAGUUCACAGACUAAAUGUGGGUGGGCUUGACUGAUACCCUAUCAGAGUUUCAAACACAAAAGCAAAGCAAACGCUAAAUCCUCGCUAAAGUCAGGAACUUCUUCUUCAAAAAGCUAAAAAGGAACCUCCAAAUUUCUAGAGCAUGAGAUGCCACGUGUACUGCCACGUCAGCAUAUUGCCACGUCAGCGGUGACGUGGAGCCAUAUCACUUCCAGCUGGGCAAUCACCUUUUCUGUUUGCUUGAAACUCUGAGAACAUCAGUAAAGUUUAAGAUAUAGUCGGCCCCCUCCGAGAGGAGAGC
rfam:Chlorella variabilis unplaced genomic scaffold CHLNCscaffold_3, whole genome shotgun sequence.